rnacentral:rRNA from 1 species
GAUGAACGCUAGCGGGAGGCCUAACACAUGCAAGCCGAGCGGUAUUGUUUCUUCGGAAAUGAGAGAGCGGCGUACGGGUGCGUAACACGUGUGCAACCUGCCUUUAUCUGGGGGAUAGCCUUUCGAAAGGAAGAUUAAUACUCCAUAAUAUAUUGAACGGCAUCGUUUAAUAUUGAAAGCUCCGGCGGAUAGAGAUGGGCACGCGCAAGAUUAGCUAGUUGGUGAGGUAACGGCUCACCAAGGCGAUGAUCUUUAGGGGGCCUGAGAGGGUGAUCCCCCACACUGGUACUGAGACACGGACCAGACUCCUACGGGAGGCAGCAGUGAGGAAUAUUGGUCAAUGGGUGCAAGCCUGAACCAGCCAUCCCGCGUGAAGGACGACUGCCCUAUGGGUUGUAAACUUCUUUUGUAUAGGGAUAAACCUACCCUCGUGAGGGUAGCUGAAGGUACUAUACGAAUAAGCACCGGCUAACUCCGUG